rnacentral:lncRNA from 1 species
UUAUUUGCGAACAUGAGGAACUAAUUCUUCUUUAGAGUUAGAGGGGAAUUCAAAGCCAUGAUCAUAUGUUUUAUAUGACUUGAUUUCCUCCAGUUAUGAUUUCAUAAAUCAUGAAUGUGGUUUACUUAUCUAUUUGAUUGAUAACAUGUUUAUGUAUGUUGAUUGAGGGUCGACAAUUAGUUUGCAUGCAUGAAUUUGAUGCUAGAGUAUAAGGGAAUUUCACCUAAUCGUUAUUAACUUAUAUUCAUAAGUAGUAAAAGUCGCUAGUCACGAUUGUGUUAAGUAAAUCCUUGGCAAGAGUAACAUCGUAUUCCAUAGUUAUGAAUGCCUCGUCAAUGCUUAUGAUUUCCAUUGAACUUAAUGAUCUUUUAUAUGUGUCUCUAUCAUGCGUAUUCCAUAGUUAGGGUCCUUGAUAAGAAUAAUUUGGUUGUAAUGCGUAUUCCAUUCAAUUCAAUGAAAUCUAGGGAAAUCUGAGAAUUAAUUGGUGCAAUCUAGUUAAUUUGGGGCAUUGUCAUUCAUGGUUUGUUGAAAGAGUAACUGGAAAUCGAGUCGUAUGCAUAUAUU